UCAACUAGCUUGUUUUGUCCUUCCCCAUUGCAAUUUCAGAUCUGUUCCCUUCUAUGAGAGAGCUCUAUAUUAAACUGCAUUAAGUACAUUUUCUCCUCAACCCCACUUGAUACUGGUUAUGACUUCUCUAAGUCAUCCUAGCACUUAUAUCAUAAAUUUAGAUAAACUGUUACAAGAUGAUAUAACAAUUGUAAAUAUAUAUGCACCCAACACUGGAGCACCCAGAUAUAUAAAGGAAAUAUUGUUAAACCUAAAGGGAUAUUGGUCUAAAAUUCUCUUUUUUGUUGUGUCUCUGCCAGGCUUUGGUAUCAGAAUGAUGCUGGCCUCGUAAAAUGAGUUAGGGAGGAUUCCCUCUUUUUCUAUUGAUUGGAAUAAUUUCAGAAGGAAUGGUACCAGCUCCUCCUUGUACCUCUGGUAAAAUUUGGCUGUGAAUCCAUCUGGUCUUUUAUUGCAUGUAUUUGAUUCUUCUCUCUUUUCUUCUUUAGUAGUCUUGCUAGAGGUCUAUCAAUUUU
rnacentral:lncRNA from 1 species